UUGGAAGUAAAAAGUCGUAACAAGGUCUCCGUUGGUGAACCAGCGGAGGGAUCAUUACUGAGUUACCGCUCAUCAACCCUUUGUGAACAUACCUUAACUGUUGCUUCGGCGGGUAGGCGUCCCCUAAAAAGGACGUCUCCCGGCCCUCUCCCGUCCGCGGGUGGGGCGCCCGCCGGAGGAUAACCAAACUCUGAUUUAACGACGUUUCUUCUGAGUGACACAAGCAAAUAAUCAAAACUUUUAACAACGGAUCUCUUGGUUCUGGCAUCGAUGAAGAACGCAGCGAAAUGCGAUAAGUAAUGUGAAUUGCAGAAUUCAGUGAAUCAUCGAAUCUUUGAACGCACAUUGCGCCCGCCAGCAUUCUGGCGGGCAUGCCUGUUCGAGCGUCAUUUCAACCCUCAAGCUCUGCUUGGUGUUGGGGCUCUACGGUUGACGUAGGCCCUUAAAGGUAGUGGCGGACCCUCUCGGAGCCUCCUUUGCGUAGUAACAUUUCGUCUCGCAUUGGGAUUCGGAGGGACUCUAGCCGUAAAACCCCCAAUUUUACUAAGGUUGACCUCGGAUCAGGUAGGAAUACCCGCUGAACUUAAGCAUAUCAAU
rnacentral:rRNA from 1 species